CUAUGGAUAGGAGGCUGGGUCACGGGCGGACAUCGGUCUUGGAGUAUGGGGUAUAACGCAUGCAUAGUGUAACUGGAGGUUUGGUCGUGCGUUGUGAUUGGCUCACUUUCGGCGAGGGCAGACCAGAUACGUUGAUGACGCGUGACCCAGCCUCCUUCAAUAGGCCUUGAAGCUAACCUGUGGACUUUUUGACCUCUAGCAGCGCUAUAGAGCAGUUUUGCUCACGCGAGCACACGUGUGAUGCGAUACACAGUCCUGUCAGUGAUGUCACACUAUUCCACUGAUCAGCAAGUGAAGGUAACGUGCCAAGAUAUGCUGCAAUGUGCCAACAAAGGCAGGGAAGAAGAAGAAGACUGCAAGCACACGUGGAUGCAAACAGUGCAGGAUGUAAACGGCUAAUGUUUUAUGAGGAAGGACAUGCAUUCAACACAUUUGUUACAAAAUAAUCCAC